rnacentral:lncRNA from 10 species
CCCUGCUCCUGGUCUGCCAGGCACCGGAUCCUCCUUUAGCACUCCCAGCACUCACUGAAGAAGACACUAUGGAAUUCUCCGUUUUCCAGACUAGAAAUAAGUAACUCGGAGAAAUUAAGAAACUCGCCCGACGACCCUCAGGCAGUAGCACCUGGCCAGGUGCUGUUGUAGGAGCAAGGGAUACAAUGAUGAUCAAGGCAGAUGCAGCCGUUACCUUCAGGUUGUGGAGUCCGGAUACAGACUGGAGGCAGGCAGCUGUAAGAUGUGUGAGAAAUGCUGCGCUGGAUCAGCCCAUGGUAUUAGGAGAGCAGAGACCGAGAGGUUGAUGUCACUCCCAAUAUCGGAGGAAGUAUACACCCCCGUGUGAGAUGGUCCUUAAUAAUAUUCCACGGCGGAGGGGGUGAUAUGACUACAUACAUGGCAGAAAGUGGAAACCUCCCAGGGAUAUUGUUCCCACGAUCCUGGAGGGAAGAAGAUGAUGUUACUUUCAAUAUGACAGAAGGUGGAUGAAGUGGUGGACUGCCCCUCCACACCUGUGGACACGCCCCCACUGAUAUUCCUUCUAAUUGCAGCGUGGGAGAGGAGGAUAUGACACGCGAUAUCGCAGGGAGUAGAAACACCCCUGUGAUACUGUUCUUAAUAUUCAGGGAGGAAGAGGAUGAUAUUACUCCCAAUACAGACGGGUGUACACCCUCUGUACACCGAGGGUGUACACCUGUCUGUGAAAGAGUUCGUAAUCUCCAGAGGGGGAGAUGAUAUUACUCACAAUAUGGUAAAGAGGCUGUGAGUCCACGGAGGAUCCUCAGAGCCAGCGGGGGAAGAGGGGCUGGCUCUCAGUCCCCGCCUCGCGGGGGUGACUCCCCCCAGUGCGAUGGGGGUCCUAAGAGCCAGUGGGGGAAGAGGGGCUGGCUCUGAGACCCCGCCUCGCGGGGGGUGCCUCCCCGCCCUGUGAUGGGGGUCCGAAGAGCCAGAAGGCUUAGAGGGGCUGGCUCUCAGUCCCCGCCUCGCGGGGGGUGCCUCCUCCCCCUGCGAUGGGGGUCGUAAGAGCCACUGGGGGAAUAGGGGCUUGCUCUCAGUCACCGCCUCGCGGGGGGUGCCUCCUUUCCUUUCUACAUAGACACAGUGACAGUCUGAUCUCUCUUUCUUUUCCCUACAGAUGGACACGCCCCCACUGAUAUUGUUUUUAAUGCAGCGUGGGAGGGGAGGAUAUGACACGCGAUAUCGCAGGUAGUAGAAACACCCCUUUGAUAGUGUUCUUAAUAUUCAGGGAGGAAGAAGAUGAUGUUACUCCCAAUACAGACGGAUGUACACCCUCUGUACACCGAGGGUGUACACCCGUCUGUGAAGGAGUUCGUAAUCUCCAGAGGUGGAGAUGAUAUUACUCACAAUAUGGUAAACAGGCUGUGAGUCCAUCGCGGAUCCUCAGAGCCAGGUGGGGAAGAGGGGCUGGCUGUCAGUCCCCUCCUCGCGGGGGGUGCCUCCCCCACUGCUAUGGGGAUCCCAAGAGCCAGUGGGGGAAGAGGUGCUGGCUCUCAGUCUCCGCCUCGCGAGGUGCCUCCCCACCCUGCGAUCGGGGUCCGAAGAGCCAGGGGGGAAGAGGGGCUGGCUCUCUUCGUGGAUGAUUCUUUUUCCAUUCUCAGGCAGUUUUCUUUUUUCUUUCUUUCUUUUUUUUUUUUUUUGAGACUGAGUCUUGCUCUGUUGCCCAUGCUUUGCUCGAUCUCGGGUGACUGCAACCACUGCCUCCCAGGUUCAAGAGAUUCUCCUGCCUCAGCCUCCUGAGUAGCUGGGACUAGAGGCGUGUGUCACCACACCCAGCUAAUUUUUGUAUUUUUAGUAGAGAUGGGGUUUCACCAUGUUUGCCAGGAUGGUCUCUAUCUCCUGCCCUUGUGAUCCACCCACCUCAGCCUCCCAAAGUGCUGGGAUUGCAGGUGCGAGCCACCGGGUCCAGCCUCUCAGGCGAUUUUCAUACCUGCAUACUCUGGUCACUACUCUGUUAAACAGUCAAGGAGGGUAAGUAUUAUCUUCAGAUUUCCAGAGCUCUGUCUCUGUACAGCCCUCUCCUCCUCAAUAUUCUGCCCUAUGAAUUCUAGCCACAUUGGCCUUCCCAGGCUCACAGUUCUGUCUUCUCAACUCAGGAAGAUCUCUGAGUUCCAUCUGCAUUCUUUCUUCCUGUGCUGUGGCCUGGAAAGUUUUCUAAGGUGUUAGGGAGGUCAAUUGUGGGGCUAGCCUCAUUUGUUUCUCAUCUCUUGAGGAUCACUGCCCUUUGAUGCUUGAUUCCAGUGAUUGAUUCCCUUUGUUGCUUGAGGGCCAUAGUUUCAUAUAUUUUGUCCAGUAGUUUUGUUGUUUUAGGUCAGAAAGUAAUUUUGGUCUCUGUUACUCUAUCUUGGCCAGAAGUGUAAGACCUAAGCAUUUACACAUCAAAAUACUGCACACAUAAUUUUAGUUUAAGCUACUUUUUAAAAAAUCUCCUUCAUUUUCCAUUUAGCAUUCUAUUUAGGGUAUUACAUUGGUUUUUUUGAAAUUCUGUUAUUGGCAGUUUCUAUUGCCUAUCAAUCCCAUUUAAAGAUAGUGCAUAGGGUAUUCUAAAAUAGCUGUUAAGCAAAGAGAAAAUUGGGCCUGAUAGGGUGAGAAUCACAGCUCUAAUACCUAGAGUGACCUUAUAAUGUAUUGUCCAAAGGAGAUAUUUUUGACAGUGAAAGAGGGUGUUGUUAGUAAUUAUAUCAGGACCAUGGCCUAAACCAGGACUAUCCCAGGAAGCCUGGGACAUAUUUGUACCCCAUCUCUAUUUAAUGCCUUUAUACAAUUCUUUACUUAAUUCUACCAGCCUUUAUUGAGCCUGCUUUCUUUGUCUAGCUGAGUGCCACGUGCUGACGUCACUAAGAUCAAUACAGCAAACUCUGAAAGAUGGACAGAGAGACAGGAGAUGGUCCUUUAUAAUGCAGUGUGAUCUGUGCUGCAAUAGAGAUGGAAGAGUGUUCUGAUCGGCUGGAAAACAACGCACAUGGGAAGCUGUACAGAAAUGAGUGGGGAAAGUUUUGGAAGCUAGAAGUUCAAAACGAGGUGUUGGCAGCACCAUGCUCUCUCUGAAGAUGCUAGGAAGAAUCUGCUCCAUGCCUUUCCAUUCGCUUCUGGGGUUUCCUGCAAGCCCUGACAUUCCUUGGCUUGUAGAUGCAUCACCCCAGUUUCCGCCCCCAUCAUCACAUGGCCUCCUCUCUGUGUGUGCCUCUGCGUUCCCUCUAUUCUUCUUCUAAGGACACCGACACCAGUCAUAGUGGAUUAAGUGUCCACUCCUAACCAAUUACAUCUGCAACAACCCUAUUUCCAAAUAAAGUCACAUUCUAAGAUUCCUAGGGAGAACAUGAAUUUUUGGGGGUGUGUGGAUACUGUUCAACCUGGGACAUGGAGUAAAUAAAUGGCAAG